CGCCGCGCCAGAGGCUCCUUUUCCCAGGGCAGCGGGCGCCGCGGGGCUGCCCCGCUCCCUCCCGCUCCGCCGGUGCCUCCGCCUCGGCUCGAGGCUUCCCGGGACGCCGGGGCCGCCUCCGCGCCCGGGGUGGACAGGAGGCCUCUGGUUUUGUGGCCAGUGUCACUUCUGUCGUGGCCUGGAUCAACUCAGAUGUCAGCACUGGUGUGUCGGAGGUGGAAGGUGGCUGAUGGCAGGUAAUCACAUCCGAGCACGCGCUGGACCCUUCCUUCUGCAAAGAACAACUGCCCCCUGCCCCAGACAGGCCUGGUAGCAUGCUCAGGUGUGGUGGGACUAGCACCUUGGCCAGAUGCUGCUCUUCUGUGGACCCCAGCACUAGAGACCAGAAGGAAACUGGCGGGGAAAAAACACAAGGCUGAGAGAUGGAGACUAACUGCUGCAUUUUUGGGGCUCAAAACCAGAGGGUGAGCGCUGCCUUUCUGAAGCUCAGAAAAAGACUGAGUCAUGUGUUUUCAGUGCUUGAAAAUGCAGGCUAAGUCCUGUGUUUCUGCGACUCAAAAAACUGGAUGUCAACUCCCACCACUUCACCGUGGUCGCCCUUUCUUCUGCCAUGAAAGUACCAGACAGAUGGAAAGAAUCCAUAGUGGUCUGCAAGUACAAGGCUUUCCCAAGAAGCGUUAGCAGCCUUGGGACUAGUGACAGUGAGUCCUGAUGUGUUUUUGGGCCUGGGGACGUUUGUUGCCCUGGGAAGCCAGUCCCAGCACGGGAACAGAGGGGGAACAUCGCAGAGCAGAGCCUGAGCGAGAGACGUGGCACCAUCUUCUGGCACGCUCCCCCCCGCACCCCCCCUGUGGGGCAGCUGCCAGCCUGUGGGACCAGGGCUGGGGGGGCUGCAAACGUUUGGGGGGCCACCCCCCUUUAUUUUUCUAGCAGAGCCCCCCCCUUUUUGGGAGGGGUUGUGUACAUAUGUAAAUGGCAUUAUUAAAGUAACGAGCUGCUG